GGUUGAUCCUGCCAGUAUUAUAUGCUGAUGUUAAAGAUUAAGCCAUGCAUGUGUAAGUAUAAAGACCAAGUAGGAUGAAACUGCGGACGGCUCAUUAUAACAGUAAUAGUUUCUUUGGUUAGUAGAGUACAAGGAUAACUUUGUGAAUGAUAAAGAUAAUACUUGAGACGAUCCUGCUUGUACAAGUACAAGUGGGCCAUUCUUUGCAAGAGGAGUGAAAAAUGACAUUUUAUAAUGAAUAAAGAUGCCACGACAAUUGUAGAACACACAGUGUUUAACAAGUAACUAAUGA
rnacentral:rRNA from 1 species